GAAGCCUGAUCCAGCCAUGCCGCGUGUGUGAAGAAGGCCUUCGGGUUGUAAAGCACUUUCAGUGAGGAAGAAAGCCUUGAGGUUAAUACCCUCGAGGGAGGACAUCACUCACAGAAGAAGCACCGGCUAACUCCGUGCCAGCAGCCGCGGUAAU
rnacentral:rRNA from 1 species